CAGUCGCCGCGGUAAUACGUAGGACCCAAGCGUUAUCCGGAGUGACUGGGCGUAAAGAGUUGCGUAGGUGGUUUGUUAAGCGAAUAGUGAAAUCUGGCGGCUCAACCGUACAGACUAUUAUUCGAACUGGCAAACUCGAGAAUGGUAGAGGUAACUGGAAUUUCUGAAGUAGGGGUAAUAUCCGUAGAUAUCAGAAGGAACACCAAUGGCGUAGGCAGGUUACUGGACCAUUUCUGACACUGAGGCACGAAAGCGUGGGGAGCGAACCGGAUUAGAUACCCGCGUAGUCCCUGUCUCUUAU
rnacentral:rRNA from 1 species